AGAGUUUGAUCCUGGCUCAGAACGAACGCUGGCGGCGUGGAUAAGACAUGCAAGUCGAACGAGAGAAUUGCUAGCUUGCUAAUAAUUCUCUAGUGGCGCACGGGUGAGUAACACGUGAGUAACCUGCCCCCGAGAGCGGGAUAGCCCUGGGAAACUGGGAUUAAUACCGCAUAGAAUCGCAAGAUUAAAGCAGCAAUGCGCUUGGGGAUGGGCUCGCGGCCUAUUAGUUAGUUGGUGAGGUAACGGCUCACCAAGGCGAUGACGGGUAGCCGGUCUGAGAGGAUGUCCGGCCACACUGGAACUGAGACACGGUCCAGACACCUACGGGUGGCAGCAGUCGAGAAUCAUUCACAAUGGGGGAAACCCUGAUGGUGCGACGCCGCGUGGGGGAAUGAAGGUCUUCGGAUUGUAAACCCCUGUCAUGUGGGAGCAAAUUAAAAAGAUAGUACCACAAGAGGAAGAGACGGCUAACUCUGUGCCAGCAGCCGCGGUAAUACAGAGGUCUCAAGCGUUGUUCGGAAUCACUGGGCGUAAAGCGUGCGUAGGCUGUUUCGUAAGUCGUGUGUGAAAGGCGCGGGCUCAACCCGCGGACGGCACAUGAUACUGCGAGACUAGAGUAAUGGAGGGGGAACCGGAAUUCUCGGUGUAGCAGUGAAAUGCGUAGAUAUCGAGAGGAACACUCGUGGCGAAGGCGGGUUCCUGGACAUUAACUGACGCUGAGGCACGAAGGCCAGGGGAGCGAAAGGGAUUAGAUACCCCUGUAGUCCUGGCAGUAAACGGUGCACGCUUGGUGUGCGGGGAAUCGACCCCCUGCGUGCCGGAGCUAACGCGUUAA
rnacentral:rRNA from 1 species